UACGGAGGGGGCUAGCGUUGUUCGGAAUUACUGGGCGUAAAGCGCACGUAGGCGGCUUUGCAAGUCAGAGGUGAAAGCCCGGGGCUCAACCCCCGGAAUUGCCUUUGAGACUGCAUCGCUAGAAUUGUGGAGAGGUAAGUGGAAUUCCGAGUGUAGAGGUGAAAUUCGUAGAUAUUCGGAAGAACACCAGUGGCGAAGGCGACUUACUGGACCAUUACUGACGCUGAGGCGCGAAAGCGUGGGGAGCAAACAGG
rnacentral:rRNA from 1 species